UGAUUUCAUCUCUAAUUGUCAGGUAAUUUUAUAUUUAUUUUGUUUUCUUUUCCCCCCUCAUGUUCUUGUGGUUUUUUCUUUAUUUUUUUUUUUUAUGGUUUUCAAUUAUUUUUUACCGUAUAUUUACGGUAUUUGUUGGUGGGGUGAGGGAGAGGGGUUCAGGGUGAAAUGUAAAUUCUUAGUAGGUUGCCGGCUCUUGUUGAAAAAUCAGCUGCCAUGUAAAUUCAUAAAGUGAAUUCAUUACAGAUUUGUCCACUUUGAUUUAUAAUUCAGCUCGGGCUUGUUGAAAUCAGCUGCAACGUAAAUCUCUAAAUUUGUCUUCUUCAGGACAAUGUUGUAGUAAUCGUUCAGGUACUGUCAAUCUUAUACUUCUUUUUCUUUCAAUUUUUUAUUUUU
rnacentral:misc_RNA from 1 species